UAAGCAUAUCACUAAGCGGAGGAAAAGAAACUAACAAGGAUUCCCUUAGUAACGGCGAGUGAACAGGGAUGAGCCCAGCACCGAAGCCUGUGUCCAUUUGGGCACUAGGCAAUGUGGUGUUCAGGUCGUUCCGCAGAGGUACUGCUCCAUCCUAAGUCCAGCAAUGAGUACGGUGGUACGGACAUGGCCCACAGAGGGUGAAAGGCCCGUUGGGGUGGAGGUCAGGUAUGUCAGUAUCUCUCUGGGUAGACCUUGGAGUCGGGUUGUUUGUGAAUGCAGCCCAAAGUGGGUGGUAAACUCCAUCCAAGGCUAAAUACUAACACGAGUCCGAUAGCGAACAAGUACCGUGAGGGAAAGUUGAAAAGUACUUUGAAGAGAGAGUAAACAGUACGUGAAACCGCUCAGAGGUAAACGGGUGGAGUUGAACUGCAAGCACUGGGAAUGACCACGGGUGAGUGUGGUUUGAGCUCGGGAGUCUGUGUAGUAACAGGUCAUUACCUUUCGGUGAUGAUGCGCGAUGCACUUAUCAAGUGUUGUGUGCUUCCGAUGCUUCGGGCCAGCUUGCCAGUGCACUUCUCAGUGUAAUCACCACGACCGGCACCGCUGUCUGGCUGCUGUAGUCAAACCGAUUAUGUGUGGUCCUUUGUGACUUCAUGUGAUUGGGAUGGCAGGUAGCUCGUUAUUUCAAUGCCCGUGGUUCGCUACGAGUGUUGGGUUUCGAGUGUUACUAGCUGGCUGCAGUGGUUCUGUGCAGUGUGUCGGAGAUGGCGGCUUGUGGUGUGUGCAUGCGUGCCAGUCCAGUUGGCGGAUCUGAGUUUGGUUGUUAUGUUGCCUGUGUUCACAGGCCUAAUGAUGGCUCGGAUUCGUUCGAUUGGCGGUUGCGUAUGUGACACCUUGAAAGGGCCAAAAGUCUGUGGUGUAGUGGUAGACUAUCCACCUGACCCGUCUUGAAACACGGACCAAGGAGAGUAACAUGUACGCGAGUCAUUGGGCACUACGAAACCCAAAGGCGCAGUGAAAGUAAAGGUCUGGUCUCGAUCAGACUGUGGUGAGAUCCUGCCGUUCCUCACGCGUGGUACCACCAAGCAAUGAGCGGUAGGCGCAUCACCGGCCCGUCCCAUGACAAAUGUUUUCGGACAAUUAUCAGUCGGGGUGGAGCAUGAGCGUACACGUUGCGACCCGAAAGAUGGUGAACUAUGCUUGUGCAGGUUGAAGCCAGAGGAAACUCUGGUGGAGGACCGCAACGGUUCUGACGUGCAAAUCGAUCGCCAGACA
rnacentral:rRNA from 1 species